UGGCGGUAUGCUUAACACAUGCAAGUCGAACGAAAGUUUUUAACUUUAGUGGCGAACGGGUGCGUAAUACGUGAGAAUCUGCCCUUAGGAAGAGGAUAACUGCUGGAAACGGCUGCUAAUACUCUAUAUGUCGAGAGAUGAAAUAACUUUGUUGCCUAGGGAUGAGCUCGCGCCUGAUUAGCUAGUUGGUGAGGUAAUGGCUCACCAAGGCCACGAUCAGUAGCUGGUUUGAGAGAACGAUCAGCCACACUGGGACUGAGACACGGCCCAGACUCCUCCGGGAGGCAGCAGUGAGGAAUUUUCCGCAAUGGGCGAAAGCCUGACGGAGCAAUACCGCGUGAGGGAUGAAGGAUUUUGGUCUGUAAACCUCUUUUCUCAAGAAAGAAGUUCUGACGGUACUUGAGGAAUAAGCAUCGGCUAACUCCGUGCCAGCAGCCGCGGUAAUACGGGGGAUGCAAGCGUUAUCCGGAAUCAUUGGGCGUAAAGCGCCUGUAGGUUGUUUAAUAAGUCUGUUGUUAAAGACUAGGGCUCAACCCUAGAAAAGCAAUGGAAACUAUUAGACUAGAGUAUGGCAGGGGUAGAGGGAAUUUCUAGUGUAGCGGUGAAAUGCGUAGAUAUUAGAAAGAACACCAGCGGCGAAAGCGCUCUACUGGACCAUUACUGACACUCAGAGGCGAAAGCUAGGGUAGCAAAAGGGAUUAGAUACCCCUGUAGUCCUAGCCGUAAACGAUGGAUACUAGGUGUUGUGCUUCCGUACAGUAUCGUAGCUAACGCGUUAAGUAUCCCGCCUGGGGAGUACGCUCGC
rnacentral:rRNA from 1 species